CAUGGUUUCUGGCAAAAUCUGACGACGAGUGCUCUUUCGCAGUUGGCGAGUGACAUGAGCGGCCAUCGCAGCUAGUUGCAGCUGGAUGAUAUAUAAGUGUUCAUUUAAAUGACUCUUUUCCUAAGCAAUUUAGUUAUUUUACACCCCUAAAUGAUGACAUGCGUGCAGGGUUUCCUCCCUUGUCAUUGUGUUCGAAUUGUGUCCCUUUCGGUUCACCACAGUUCCGGACGACAUCUCUGACGACGAGUGUUCUAUCGCAGUUGGCGAGUGACAUGAGCGGCCAUUGUUUCCGGCAGAUCUACCCUCCUGCUGGGGUCCUUGCAGGUAGCAAAGAGCUUACGAACACAGACGUUUGAAAUUGAGGGAUUUAUACCUGGACUUGCACUGGUACAGUGUAUUAUUGCAAUUGGGCUCCAAGAUAUGAAUCUAGGACAUGUCUUCAGGUUCUAGAGUCACGCCAAGUCAUGAAAUGGCUUGAGGAGACUAAGUGUACCAAGAGAUCCAGAUCCGAGACGUGGAACAUUUCUUUGAUAUGAUUUGCACUGUUUGAUAUUGCGUUAUUGUAUCUAAUAAACGAAAACGGACAGUACAAACAUAUGCCUAUCGAACGGAUUUGCUUUGUAACAAACUGGAAGGAACAAGUUUUUUUCUAAAGCUGUUAUACUCUCAUUGGACCAAUUCAUAUUAAUCGAUAUAUUUAGUGUUCGAUGAAGUCAACAAUUUUGAGUAUUUUUCAUUUUCCAUUUUUUUAAUCGUAGAAUUCUUGUUGUUUUUAAAUGUUUUGGCUUAAACUUGCCGACAAUCACCAGUAGCCAGAGGGAUGGUGUAAAUCCUGCUGGGUUACCAUGUAGGUAGCAGAAGUAUCGUAAGUCCCCAUGGUACUUAGUGUGAUGACCUACCUUUGGUUAUUGGUGAUCUAUAGCCCAUUUUUAUUGUGUACUGUUCUGAAUUGUUAUGAAAUUUAUUCUGAUAUGCUAGUUUUAAAUCUACAUCUGUGAUAGUCUAGUGUUUUUA